rnacentral:rRNA from 1 species
CCUGCGGGUGGCUGCAGUGGGGAAUAUUGGACAAUGGGCGAAAGCCUGAUCCAGCCAUGCCGCGUGUGUGAAGAAGGCCUUCGGGUUGUAAAGCACUUUCAGUGGGGAAGAAAGCCUUGGGGCUAAUACCCUCGAGGAAGGACAUCACCCACAGAAGAAGCACCGGCUAACUCCGUGCCAGCAGCCGCGGUAAUACGGAGGGUGCGAGCGUUAAUCGGAAUUACUGGGCGUAAAGCGCGCGUAGGCGGUCUGAUAAGCCGGUUGUGAAAGCCCCGGGCUCAACCUGGGAACGGCAUCCGGAACUGUCAGGCUAGAGUGCAGGAGAGGAAGGUAGAAUUCCCGGUGUAGCGGUGAAAUGCGUAGAGAUCGGGAGGAAUACCAGUGGCGAAGGCGGUCUUCUGGACUGACACUGACGCUGAGGUGCGAAAGCGUGGGUAGCAAACAGGAUUAGAUACCCUAGUAGUC